AAGGUUUUCUACCCCUCGUGGUAGCGUUUUUAAAGAAUAAAGGUUUCCGUGUAGGAAACAGUUUUCAAAAAGAUUUUCUGUGGAUUUAUGUUUAAAUAUUGAAUGUAUAACUGUGAUGUGAAUGGUGAAUGAAUGAAUGUAUAGUCGUUUCUAUAUUCAUUUGGUUGUGGUUGUACCUAGGUUACUCCUUGUACUUGUGCGACGCCGUGCAAAUACAGGGGAGACUCUGUCCGCGUGAACAGUGGAUUUCCUGUAUUUGUGGCGGAUCUGGCAUUCCCUGGGGUUAGGUUUUCAAAAAAAAAAAAAAAAAAAAAAAAAAAUUCGCGGUGUUUUUAACCUAAAGGGACCCCGGGGCGUGACAAUAACUCCUAAAACAGACUCUAUGAUUUAGACACAACUAGGAGUCUUGAAGUCUUGAUUUCCUGCAAAACAAUUUAUCCAAAAUGAUAUAUAGAAAGUUCAAACCAUUUGACAUUCUUACAUUCAUUGUUCUCAAAAUUUCAUUGCUUCUCUAUCCUCGAAAUUUCACUCCUUCUCUAUCCUCGAAAUUUCACUGCUUCUCCCCCUUUGUUCUUUAUUCCUUCUUCUCCUUUGUUACGAUCAAGACCAGUUCAUCAUUGCACUCCCCCUUUUUGUCAAAAAUUGCCAAAGAUAAAGCAUAUAAAUAGAGAAA
rnacentral:lncRNA from 1 species